UGUAAGUGUAAAGUUUGGCUACAAUUCUGGUCAUACUGACUAUGUUAAAGCAGGUACUAUAUUUAUGGACUUGUUAGUUCUGUUUGGCGUUUUUAAUCAAGUCCUGAAAUCAUUGCCUUGAGUGUGGGAACAACAUGACUUCCCAUGUUGACUUGAAAAAGAAGAAUAGCUUCUCCCAUUACAUUGUCAUGCAAUGUUAUAACAUGGAGUGUGAAUGAAAAUACUGCUUCCAUACUUCACAAAAACAAGGGGCCAUCAUAUGAAGUUAAUAUGGGAGCAGUCCUUGGCCUCCUGGCAUUCAGAGAAAUUGGUCGAGGCCAUAAUACUAUGGUAACAUUCACCAAAGUAUGCCAAAGUCAUGAACAUGCCAUCACGGGAUCACCAUAAUCCAGCUGGAACUUUACAAAAAUGCUAAACAAGCUGCUGCCUGUUGUGAAACAGUUGGCAAAUGACAGCAUGCUAAACAAUGUCAUGAUUGUUAAAGAGACUUGUGGAAAUGACAAAGGCGAAUGUGGAAUUUCCCUUGAUGGAACUUGGCUUUGACAAGACCAUGUGUCGCAAAAUGGUGUUGUUUCCGCCAUCAUUAGAUACCAAGAAAUGCCUCAAUGAACAUGAAAUACUGUCAGAUAAAUGUCAGAAAUGGCAAAAGAAAGAAAACAACCCAAAAUACCAAGAGUGGAAAGCUAGUUGCCACUGUAAGAUCAACCGGCCAUGCUGGACAUGCCAAUAGUAUAUGAUGAAUCACAAAUUACAUUCUCACCAAAAGAAAGCAGAGAAACAAUUAAAGGUAGAUGAAAAACAAUAGGGCAUCUGAGAAAAAAGUAUAUAGAUGAGGCUGAAGAGAAAGUAGGUGUUGUGUAUGAAGUAGGGGGCUUCUGAAGCUUUAUAAGGUACAUUAACUGUAAAUGAAAUUUUUAAAGUGGAUUUUCUCUUUUUGGCAAUUUGACAUGUGUCAGCAAUACCUUGAAACAUGUAAUUUUCUAGGUUUUUAUUAUAGAAGCUUGAUACUUUGCACAUCUAUAGUCUGUACCAUU